AGAGUUUGAUCCUGGCUCAGAACGAACGUGGCGGCGUGGAUUAGGCAUGCAAGUCGAACGAGAACCGUAGCAAUACGGGGAAAGUGGCGAAAGGGGCAGUAAUGCAUGGGUAAUCUACCCCGGGGACGUGGAUAGCCAUCCUAACGGGUGGGUAAUACACGGCGAUUCGGCGGCGACGCAUGUUGCUGUCGGGAAAGGAAUUUCGCCUCGGGAGGAGCUCAUGUCGUAUUAGCUAGUUGGUGGGGUAACGGCCUACCAAGGCGAAGAUGCCUAGCGGGUGUGAGAGCACGACCCGCGCCACUGGCACUGAGACACUGGCCAGACACCUACGGGUGGCUGCAGUCGAGAAUCUUCGGCAAUGGGCGCAAGCCUGACCGAGCGACGCCGCGUGCGCGAUGAAGGCCUUCGGGUUGUAAAGCGCUGUCGAGGGGAGGAAAAGCCCCACAAGGGCUUGAUCGGCCCCUGGAGGAAGCACGGGCUAAGUUCGUGCCAGCAGCCGCGGUAAGACGAACCGUGCGAACGUUGUUCGGAAUCACUGGGCUUAAAGGGUGCGUAGGCGGGUUGUCCAGUCUGGGGUGAAAUCCCACGGCUCAACCGUGGAACUGCCUCAGAUACUGACGACCUCGAGGGAGGUAGGGGCGAGCGGAACUGUGGGUGGAGCGGUGAAAUGCGUUGAUAUCCACAGGAACUCCGGUGGCGAAGGCGGCUCGCUGGACCUCUACUGACG
rnacentral:rRNA from 1 species